UACGUAGGCAGCGAGCGUUGUUCGGAGUUACUGGGCGUAAAGGGUGUGUAGGCGGUUUUCUAAGUUUGGUGUGAAAUCUCCCGGCUCAACCGGGAGGGUGCGCCGAAAAACUGGGAGACUAGAGUGCGGGAUGGGAGAGUAGAAUUCCUGGUGUAGCGGUGAAAUGCGUAGAUAUCAGGAGGAAUACCGGUGGUGUAGACGGCUCUCUGGACCGCCACUGACGCUGAGACACGAAAGCGUGGGUAGCAAACAGG
rnacentral:rRNA from 1 species